AGACUCCAUCAACCAUAACUCUAUCAAAUUCAUUCCAUACAGCACUAGUCCUCUUACGAGAAGAGGUUUGAUCUUCACUCGGUUCACUAGUUCUAGAGGAACUAGGAACAUGGGGUUGGCGAUUAGUUUCUUCUCCCUCAGAAACAGGAGGAAUGCCAAAAUGACUUUCCUCAAAAGAUGACAUAUCUAAAUUGAUGAAUUCAAAAAAUAAAAACUAACCACAAGGAGGAAUUGAGUAGAGGGUCGGAGGGCAGAGGCAGAGCCGAGAUUCUGAGCUUCCUCUUGUGCUCUCAACAGGAGUGACCUUUUCUUCUCAACAGGAACCUCCUCUUGUGUAGCACUUGAACACUUGCUAAAUGCAAACUAAAAAUUAAAUUGCUAGAAGAGCACUUUAGAAGAGAAAAAUAAUAGUAAUAGAGAAUGAGAGAAUAGUUGGUUUGGUGUGGUGAGAAUGAGGGAGGAAAGGGCUAUUCAUAGAAGCCCAAAAAAUUUUUUU
rnacentral:lncRNA from 1 species